rnacentral:rRNA from 1 species
UACGAAGGGGGCUAGCGUUGCUCGGAAUCACUGGGCGUAAAGCGCACGUAGGCGGCUUUCUAAGUCAGGGGUGAAAUCCUGGAGCUCAACUCCAGAACUGCCUUUGAUACUGGAGUGCUUGAGUCCGGGAGAGGUGAGUGGAACUCCGAGUGUAGAGGUGAAAUUCGUAGAUAUUCGGAAGAACACCAGUGGCGAAGGCGGCUCACUGGCCCGGUACUGACGCUGAUGUGCGAAAGCGUGGGGGAGCAAACAGG